UACGGGGGGGGCGAAGCGUUGUUCGGAAUUACUGGGCGUAAAGCGCACGUAGGCAGCGAUUCAAGUCAGAGGUGGAAAGCCCCGGGGCUCAACUCCGGAACUGCCUUUGAAAACUAGAUUGCUAGAAUCUUGGAGAGGCGAGUGGAAUUCCGAGUGUAGAGGUGAAAUUCGAUAGAUAUUCGGAAGAACACCAGUGGCGAAGGCGACUCGCUGGACAAGUAUUGACGCUGAGGUGCGAAAGCGUGGGGAGCAAACAGG
rnacentral:rRNA from 1 species